AUGUCUACAAUAACUAGGAAGUUGUCAAGUCGAAUAGUUCCUGUCUUUCGAAAAAUAUCUACAAUGUCCUUAUUCCAGGUGAUGGAACCCUCAUUGGAUCCAAAAGUUUUCAAUGUCAACGAAGUAGCUGUUGGACUCAAUUUAGUUCUUUUGUAUGGAUUUGCUGCUGUAACCGUGAUCGUUCCCACUCUGCUUGGUGUCUCACAACGUGGAUUUUUCUGUGAUGAUGAUUCGAUUCGAUAUGAAUAUCGGAAAGAUACAAUAACUGCAGUACAGUUGAUGCUGUAUAAUUUAGUGCUCAAUGCAGCAACAGUAUUGUUCGUCGAAUAUUAUCGAAUGCAAAAGGUAGAAUCAAAUAUCAAUAAUCCGAGAUAUCGCUGGAGAAACAAUCAUCUUCACGUUCUCUUCGUCCGACUUUUGACAUAUUUUGGAUACUCUCAAAUCGGAUUCGUUAUGAAUAUCGCCUUGAAUAUUGUAACAAAACACGUCGUUGGCAGACUUCGUCCGCAUUUUCUCGAUGUCUGUAAGCUAGCAAAUGAUACUUGCGUCACUGGAGAUUCUCACAGAUACAUCACCGAUUAUACGUGUACAGGACCACCAGAGUUGGUACUAGAAGCACGAAAGAGUUUCUAUUCAGGCCAUUCCGCUGUUUCACUUUACUGCGCGACGUGCUUUACAUUCAAGCUCGUCUAGGCCCUGUCCUGAAUAAUCGAAUUGUAGUGCCAAUAUCGCAGACACUGAUGUUUAUGAUUGGACUUGGAAUUAGCUUCUCCAGAAUCACUGAUAAUAAGCAUCAUUGGAGCGAUGUUCUUGUCGGAAUUUUCAUUGGAAUAUUCUUGGCUGUUUACACUUGUACCUUCUGGACAGAUUUGUUCUCAAACAAUUCAACUGAAUCUGAAACACAACCUCUUCUGCUUCCUCGACCACCCCGUACUCCCAGAAACUCUGAAGAUGAGGAGCGACAUCGAUUGGAUGCAGUUUUACCUUCUACGGAUAGUUCUAUUGUUUUUGAAGCUACUGGACCGCAGGACUCGGAUACAAUUUUGUUGCCGGUUCCGCAAAGUGCAUAA
rnacentral:misc_RNA from 1 species